rnacentral:rRNA from 1 species
ACGCUAGCUACAGGCUUAACACAUGCAAGUCGAGGGGCAGCAUGGUCUUAGCUUGCUAAGGCCGAUGGCGACCGGCGCACGGGUGAGUAACACGUAUCCAACCUGCCGUCUACUCUUGGACAGCCUUCUGAAAGGAAGAUUAAUACAAGAUGGCAUCAUGAGUCCGCAUGUUCACAUGAUUAAAGGUAUUCCGGUAGACGAUGGGGAUGCGUUCCAUUAGAUAGUAGGCGGGGUAACGGCCCACCUAGUCUUCGAUGGAUAGGGGUUCUGAGAGGAAGGUCCCCCACAUUGGAACUGAGACACGGUCCAAACUCCUACGGGAGGCAGCAGUGAGGAAUAUUGGUCAAUGGGCGAGAGCCUGAGCCAGCCAAGUAGCGUGAAGGAUGACUGCCCUAUGGGUUGUAAACUUCUUUUAUAAAGGAAUAAAGUCGGGUAUGCAUACCCGUUUGCAUGUACUUUAUGAAUAAGGAUCGGCUAACUCCGUGCCAGCAGCCGCGGUAAUACGGAGGAUCCGAGCGUUAUCCGGAUUUAUUGGGUUUAAAGGGAGCGUAGAUGGAUGUUUAAGUCAGUUGUGAAAGUUUGCGGCUCAACCGUAAAAUUGCAGUUGAUACUGGAUAUCUUGAGUGCAGUUGAGGCAGGCGGAAUUCGUGGUGUAGCGGUGAAAUGCUUAGAUAUCACGAAGAACUCCGAUUGCGAAGGCAGCCUGCUAAGCUGCAACUGACAUUGAGGCUCGAAAGUGUGGGUAUCAAACAGGAUUAGAUACCCUGGUAGUCCACACGGUAAACGAUGAAUACUCGCUGUUUGCGAUAUACGGCAAGCGGCCAAGCGAAAGCGUUAAGUAUUCCACCUGGGGAGUACGCCGGCAACGGUGAAACUCAAAGGAAUUGACGGGGGCCCGCACAAGCGGAGGAACAUGUGGUUUAAUUCGAUGAUACGCGAGGAACCUUACCCGGGCUUAAAUUGCAGAUGAAUUACGGUGAAAGCCGUAAGCCGCAAGGCAUCUGUGAAGGUGCUGCACGGUUGUCGUCAGCUCGUGCCGUGAGGUGUCGGCUUAAGUGCCAUAACGAGCGCAACCCUUGUUGUCAGUUACUAACAGGUUCCGCUGAGGACUCUGACAAGACUGCCAUCGUAAGAUGUGAGGAAGGUGGGGAUGACGUCAAAUCAGCACGGCCCUUACGUCCGGGGCUACACACGUGUUACAAUGGGGGGUACAGAGGGCCGCUACCACGCGAGUGGAUGCCAAUCCCCAAAACCUCUCUCAGUUCGGACUGGAGUCUGCAACCCGACUCCACGAAGCUGGAUUCGCUAGUAAUCGCGCAUCAGCCACGGCGCGGUGAAUACGUUCCCGGGCCUUGUACACACCGCCCGUCAAGCCAUGGGAGCCGGGGGUACCUGAAGUGCGUAACCGCGAGGAGCGCCCUAGGGUAAAACUGGUGACUGG